rnacentral:lncRNA from 1 species
AGAACGUAUGAAUUGCUUUGAAUAAACAGGGCCACUCCUCCCUCAGUGAAUGUUUGCUGGAGAAGGGACCCCCUUGGCCUCCCUGGACUCCCCUGGAGUCUUAGCAAAGACAAGAAGCCUGAAGAUGAGACGAGGGGGCAGGAGGGAGGUCGUCGAGCAGGGAGAAAUUUCGAAAGGGAGCUUCGCCAGUCUCCUGAAGAUGAGAGGUCGUCGAGCAGGGAGAAAGUUCAAGAGGGAGCUUUGCCAGUCUCCUGUGCGGUGGGCGUUUCUAAAUGGUUUUGGAGAAAGAGAGCUUCUGGUUCAUUUCAAGAUUCAGCCAUUGGACACAUCUUCAACAUCCAGGAUUUUAUAGAUUGGCAGGUUUCUUUCCCCUAAUAGAAUUUCAACUUAAAUCUAUUGCUUUAGUGCUUCUUUCAAUUCACUGAUUUAUUCACUGGCUCAAUCAAAUGGAUAUUUUGCAAGUGGUUUAAGUAUUUGGUAAGUGCUUGGAGUCUGAAAUAUGAAUCACACAUGAAACUGACAUUCAGCAGGGGAGAACUGAACUCAUGAAGCUACUGGAGUUGACUUGGGUGGGACAGCACUGGGGAAACCAAAACUAAUUUCAAGUAAAGCAAAACUUCCCCCAAAUCUUCCAAGAGGUUCUUCGGUAGAUUGAUUUGUCAGUAGAUUGAAUUACUCUACUUCUGAUCCAAAUACAUGUUUCAAAU